GGCUGAGUUGCUCCGCGGCAUGUGGGAUCUUCCUGGACCAGGGCUCGAACCCGUGUCCCCUGCAUUGGCAGGCGGAUUCCUAACCACUGCACCACCAGGCUUAGGAGCCUUCAGGUCACCUCGCCACAUACCAUAGCGAAGGGAUGCAUGUCCUCUACUGUUCUAGCACCAUCUCACCAUGCACUCCAUCUUCUACUGUGUAGCAAAGAAGCCCGCAGAGGAAGUUUUGUGUUUGGAGACAGAAAGUGGCAUUGAGUGCAAUGUGACAUUUCUACAACUGCUUCCUUGAGAAGGGAGAUCUGGUCCUCCAUGGGCCAGAGCAGGAAACCUGCUCUUUAGACUCUAGCCUGAACUUCAGAGAGGGAGAGGAACUCUCAGUUCUGAUUGAGACACUUAAAAGCUGGGAAUUCAAGACCUGCUACUUGAAAAGGCUGAGGGAUGGGUAAGGGGAGGUCACAUACCGAAAGGGGCAGGUCCUUGGUGAGCCUGAUGAUUUGCUGUACCAUGAAAGUGUUGAUGUCUGCGAAAUGUGUGAGCAGAGGCAGUGCAGGGAACUGGGUGGACAGCGCUGGUGAUGGAGGAACAGAUGAGCUGGAGGCUGCAGAGAUCAGAGCCUGGGUGAGAGGCCCCGGUCCCAGGGAUCUCUUUUAGGCCUCUCCAGCUUUAUCUUGGAAGGGUUCCGGGCUAAGGAGUCUGCCUCGGCUGGGGUUCUGGAGAAGUCCUGUCCUCUAUUGGUGCGUGGCACACGGCCCCCUCCCUCAGGCCAGCCUCCUUGGGCACUCUUUUGGUCAUAUUUCAGCUUGAAUCCUGGAAAUGCUCUCCCUGAACUGCACGAACUGGUCAAACAUGGCGCCCACGUGGCAAACUUGGGCCCCCAGCAGUGUCUGGAGUAGCUCUUUCUCCUCAGCUGCAUCGAUGCGUGCCGUGCCCGCCGCUGGGCCUGUCUUGCUUACCGCAACGCCCGGGCUUCUGCCGAUGCGAUCAUUGUGCCUGGGGAAGGGAUGUGACAAAACUAUUGAGACUAGCAGAGAGCACCUUCCUCUGUCAGCCCCUGGUCUGGGGCCCUCGGACACUGCGUAAUGAAGGACGCGGGGAGGGAGGAGAGUUCUUGAGGCCUCCUUGGGCUUGGCUGAAGUCCCAGGGGCUCCAGGUGGUAGGGGAUUCCUGUACACUUUCCCCGCCCUGUGAGGCACUGCAGCAGAAAACAAUGCACUGUGGGAAGGAAAAAAAGGAUGGACAAUAAAGUGGGAAUAGUAUAAGGAGAUGUUUGACUUCUGGGGGAGCACUGAAGAGGGAGGGCUUGUGAUACCAAAAACAUCACCCUAUGUUUGCAUAGCUUUGUAAUUUCAAAGCUUCUGAGGUUAAGUCUCACUGAAUGAAACAAUCCUGUGGGUGGAGAGGGCAGGUGUUAUUAUCCAUAUUUUUCAGAAACAGACUGACAUUCCAGUGACAGGUCCAAGGUCACAAAAUACUUAACGUGAUGUAGACUGAAUUCAAGAUUUUUUGACUUCUACAGUUUCCUUUCCACUGCUCCAUAUUGAAAAGCAGUGUGACGUCAUGGAGAAAGCAAGGGUCUGGUGAAUACUGACUCUACAACUCUUCAGCCGAGUGGACUUGGACAAGUUGAUUUCUGUUACUUUAAGUUGAGUAUGAGUUACAUUAUCUUUUGGGGGCAGAGCCUUAUUACCUGGCACAGAGAAAAAAACAUUAAAUAAUUCAACAAUUAUCAAGUACCUACUAAGUGACAGGCACUAUAUUUGAGAGAUGGAAGAGUAAAAUAAAGCCAUAUAAAUAUCUAGGGGAAGAGCAUUCCAGGUAGAGGCAAUGGCGAGUGCAAGUAUAAGUUACAACAGUCUUGAGAAGAGUGUGCUUGGUGUGUUUGAGAAUGGCAUUGACAUCAGUGUGGCUGGGAUGGGUUGAGCAAGGGGAAGAGUAGGAAGUGAAAUCUGAGAGGUGGUAUGGAGGAGCUGGCCCAUGAGAUCAUGGACCAUAAGAGAGAGGAGGAGCCCUUGGAGGUUUUGAGCAGAAUAGUGACAUCGUCUGACUUGUUUCACAAAGCUUACUCUGCCUGCCCUGUGGAGAAUACGCUGUGGGAACAAGGGCAAAGCAUAGUCAGUGGAGGGACGUAGUGGAUUCUCAGGAUGGAAAGGGGCCAACUCACUGUCCUUCUUCAUGCCAGCAUCUAGGCACUUCUGCAACCUGCAGGCUGGGCCUUGUUGACCUUCCAGCUUCCAGCAAAGGGGCACGUGAGACCGGUGCUUUUGCUGACUGUUCGCCUGAGAGGACAGAGACAUUGUGAGGGUUGGGGAUGGCAGCGAGCAGCACUGUUUACAAUAGCCAAGGCAUGGAAGCAACCUAAAUGUCCAUCGAC